UGUUAAAAAUUUCAUUUAUUUUUAUUGUUAAUAAAUGACAUGACUUAUAAAAUAAUCAGACAAUUACACUUGUUGUGUUACAUUUACUUUAUGUUGACAUAAAUGUAUUAGUUUUAACCGUAAAAAUGAUAAAAUUUUUAAUA
rfam:Gossypium hirsutum cultivar TM-1 chromosome 23, whole genome shotgun sequence